UACGUAGGGUGCGAGCGUUAAUCGGAAUUACUGGGCGUAAAGCGUGCGCAGGCGGUUCGCUGUGUCCUGUGUGAAAGCCCCGGGCUCAACCUGGGAAUUGCGUUCGAUACUGGAUAGCUAGAGUUCGGCAGAGGGAGGCGGAAUUUCUGGUGUAGCGGUGAAAUGCGUAGAUAUCAGAAGGAACAUCAGUGGCGAAAGCGGCUUCCUGGACCAGAACUGACGAUCAGGCACGAAAGCGUGGGGAGCAAACGGG
rnacentral:rRNA from 1 species